rnacentral:misc_RNA from 1 species
AAGUCGUAACAAGGUUUCCGUAGGUGAACCUGCGGAAGGAUCAUUAUUGAAUUUUUGAAGAGGUUGUCGCUGAUCUUUUAGAUAUGUGCACACCUUGUUCCAAAUUUCUACACCUGUGCACCUUUGUAGGCUGAUUUCACAAGAAAUUAGCCUACGUUUUAAUACACCCUUUGCUACUUUUAAAAGAAUGUCAUUAGCUUGUUUGGACAAGCUUAAUAAAUACAA